rnacentral:rRNA from 1 species
AUUGAACGCUGGCGGCAUGCCUUACACAUGCAAGUCGAACGGUAACGCGGGGCAACCUGGCGACGAGUGGCGAACGGGUGAGUAACGCAUCGGAACGUGCCCAGUAGUGGGGGAUAGCCCGGCGAAAGCCGGAUUGAUACCGCAUACGACCUACGGGUGAAAGAGGGGGAUCGCAAGACCUCUCGCUAUUGGAGCGGCCGAUGUCAGAUUAGGUAGUUGGUGGGGUAAAAGCCUACCAAGCCUACGAUCUGGAGCUGGUCUGAGAGGACGACCAGCCCCACUGGGACUGAGACACGGCCCAGACUCCUACGGGAGGCAGCAGUGGGGAAUUUUGGACAAUGGGGGCAAGCCUGAUCCAGCCAUGCCGCGUGCGGGAAGAAGGCCUUCGGGUUGUAAACCGCUUUUGUCAGGGAAGAAACGCUCUGGACUAAUACUCUGGGGUAAUGACGGUACCUGAAGAAUAAGCACCGGCUAACUACGUGCCAGCCGCCGCCGUAA